rnacentral:rRNA from 1 species
GAUAGUGAACCAGUACCGUGAGGGAAAGGUGAAAAGCGCCACGGAAGGGGAGUGAAACAGUGCCUGAAACCGUGUGCCUACAAUUAGUCAAAGCCCGUUUAUGGGUAAUGGCGUGCCUUUUGUAGAAUGAACCGGCGAGUUACGUUUGCUUGCGAGGUUAAGAUGAAAAGUCGGAGCCGUAGCGAAAGCGAGUCUGAACAGGGCGAAUGAGUAAGCAGAUGUAGACC